rnacentral:rRNA from 1 species
GACGAACGCUGGCGGCGUGCCUAACACAUGCAAGUCGAACGGAAAGGCCCUGCUUUUGUGGGGUGCUCGAGUGGCGAACGGGUGAGUAACACAUGAGUAACCUGCCCCUGUCUUUGGGGUAACUUCAGGAAACUGCGGCUCAUACCGGAUAGGAUCUUCUGCUGCAUGUUGUGGGUUGGAAAGUUUCGGCGGUUCGGGAUGGACUCGCGGCUUAUCAGCUUGUUUGUGUGGUAGUUGCUUACCAAGGCUAUGACGGGUAGCCGGCCUGAGAGGCGGACCGGCCACAUUGGGACUGAGAUACGGCGCAGAAUCCUACGGGAGGCAGCAGUGGGGAAUAUUGCACAAUGGGCGGAAGCCUGAUGCAGCAACGCCGCGUGCGGGAUGACGGCCUUCGGGUUGUAAACCGCUUUCGCCGGUGACGAAGAGUGAGUGACGGUAAUGGGUAAAGAAGCACCGGCUAACUACGUG